rnacentral:lncRNA from 1 species
UCCCUUCAACUGACCGACCUUAGCUGUCCCAUGCUGUCGCUUUUCAAAAAUAUCUAUAUUUUCAGACAAGAUGCGCAUCUGAUGCAUGAAGGUAUCAUACUGCCCCUCAGAAGAAAUUUUUAUCUCCUUCAAACUUUGAAAGAUGUACUACCGAAGAUUUGAAUGGUCAGUCCUCUGACCCGCAGCAGUGCCAAGCUUUACAACUCUCUCCAAGCUCUCAAGUCUUAGUGUGAUUCUGAGCAAAUCUCUACGAAGCUGCUGUAUCUGGGACUGAGUGUGCCCCUGAGAUGCC